GCUUUAUAAAUAAUAUAAUUUUAUUAUAUCUAUAUUCAGUUGGGGCGACUUAGGUAUAUAAAAACAACCUAUAUAUAUACAUAGAUUUGUAAUUCACUAAUAGAUCCAUAUAGCUUAAAAAUUAAGC
rnacentral:rRNA from 1 species